CCAGGGCGGCUUCACCGAGGACGUCGCGCGCCUCCUCCUGCGGUACGGAAAGGACCCCGACGGGCGUGAAACGAAAGGCCCGCCACGGUCGCAGGCGACCAUGAGCAGAAAACUGCGCUGUACGCUGAUUGAUGCCCUGCGCGCCCUGGAUGCCGGUCCAGUCAUCGAAAGGUUCUCAUCCCCGCUUAACUGCGGUGAAGAGGUGCAAUACUACUUCAGUGUCCACAUAGAAGACCAACUCUUCGGGGGCAAACAUAGAUGCAUUCUCUCAGCCAUUUACAGGCCUCUCGAUAGCACACCCGAACCCUGACCCCACCAGUGUCAAGAAGGCAGUAAUGUGGGCAGUCGCAGGCGCAUCACACACAAUGACAUCCGCACUGCCCACCGCCACUACUCAUUGUCCCGCACAGCCGAACUGGCCCCCACACGCAGCUACACAACACACCGUAUGUCUUCCAGCUCGCGCGGCUGAGCCGCGGUGAAGCGUGCAAGCUUACCAGCGGGACUGGAACUGACGGCCCCAGCCCUGACUACAAGGGGGGCCUGGACCUCGUCGUGGUGGCCAACGACACGGCGAUCCGAGGACUAAACGCCCGAUCCAUGAAGGCGCUCCUAUCCGAACUCGAAGCGAUGGACGCCACUGGCCUCCCCAGAAAACAUCUGCGACUGCGUCGGCACUACUCACUGCGUCGGCACCCAACGACCCUACCCAAACAAAGUCGCUCAGGUCAUGCGCAAGAUGAAUGCCUCAAAGCCGCCCAGACCAAGACCAACCGCCACAGCCCCCCACUCGGACGGACAGAUGCUCCAGCAGCGCCUGACAGCAGCUUUUCCCGGACAAGUACCACUCAGGAUGGACCCGCACACUAUCAUAUGGACCGACGGUAGCUGUAUUAAAUCGGCUGAAAACGACGGCCAGAACAAGUUGGGUGCGGCUGCAUACUGUGGACCCACCGGAAAAACGCUGCACAUCGACCCAGCGGGCGAAGGAUGUACGAAUACCAUCCAACGGGCAGAGCUGGCAGCAAUACGCGUAGCUCUAUCAACCCAAAGGGCAGUGAACAUCACCUUAACAAUUGCCACUGACUCGCAAGCCUCACUGGAUCUUAUCAAAAGAGCAGUAAACGAUCCGAGUAAACUGCA
rnacentral:lncRNA from 1 species